GCCACCAUCAUGCCCCUGCCACGUGGCAGGCUCCGGGGUACACCCUUUCCAGGCAUUACUCCAUUGGCAGCAAGCAUAUAAGUGGUUCUGCCCAGCUGGCUACAAAUUCAGGGCCCCCCAUGUCCACCCUCAGGUCCAGAACUCCCUGACAGCACUGGACUUACAAUUUUAUUAUUGCAAAGGAUACAAACCAGAGCCAGCCAAAAGAAGAGACACUUGGGGCCGAGUCUGGGAGGGCUCCAAACACAGAGCUUCCAUCGUCCUCGGGAACACAUUACCGUCCUGGCACAUCAGUGCUCGGGAGCACAGAGUUUUUCUUGGGGCUUCAUUA
rnacentral:lncRNA from 1 species